CCGCUGCGCCACCUGAGCGGCCGUGGUCCAUUUUUUUAAAAUAAGGUUCGUGAUGGAUAUAAAAGGUUUUUUUAUAAAAGCAAUUUUAUAAAAACGUUGGCUGGCAUAAAUAACCCAGGAAACAUGUUUACCAAGACAAAGCACAUUAUCAUGCCUAAAACACUUAUUUACAAGUCUUUAUGAAUUUCCUUGAUUGAAUGAUUGAACUAAUGAAGUGUUUAUAUUUCUGCAGUGACUUUUUGUGCACCCCUGAGUCCAGCUCACUCAGUCACGUUCUGUUAUUUGUCCUACACUAAUCUUGCACUGUUCUGGAAACUGCUUUUCAUGAUGCCACUCCUGCUGCCUGAGUGAAUCAAUAAACCAUUUUUAACCAGAAUUACAGACCAGUGUCAGGAGGGAGGAGAUCAGCAGUCAAUUAUGGCAGGACAAAAAAUUUUUAUAAUAAAUAAAAAUACUUGAAAUAAAAUAUUGAAAAAUGUG